AGGCAGAAGACCCUGAAAAAUACAUUAAAGCAAGAAAACGCUGAUAAUAUAUUGUCUCUGGUUUGGAGGGUAUUGUCCAUGAAAUCUACACUCACCUGUUCUCUGCCCACCUCCUACAGCCUCAGGACUAGACUGGGUACCUCGUCAGGAAUUGAAAGGAGUAGAAAGAAUGCCGCAGAAACGGAGCCAUACACCACGUCCUUUCCAAGGCUUGCCCUCUGUUGUUCAUCAGAGGGUUCUUGAGGGUCGUCAUUUUGUUACCUAAGUGUAGCAGUGGUCCCUUCCUUUUUGUGGAUGAGCAGGAGUUCCGUAUUCCCAUGCGCAGAUGCAGCCCCAUCUGUCCGUCCCUUCCCCUGGCCACUUCCACUUCUUGCUAAUUUUCAAUUAAAAUGAAGCAA